rnacentral:tRNA from 1 species
AGGGAUUUAGCUCAGCGGCAUAAGCGCCUGCCUUGCAAGCAGGCAGUCGUGAGUUCGAUUCCCAGUACCGA